GCAAGGAGCUCAUUCAAGCGCUGUCAGCGUCGCAGUCGUGUUCGGAAUAUCUUCCUACUUUAUUAUACGAAAAUUAAUUUGAAAAGUUUUAAUAUUGGCAAAAUAAGUUUGCGUACGCAUCCGGAAAUAUUAUCUUGGGUUCAGUUUGAGGUAUAAAAGAGAGAUUUUCUCAGAAACCUGCCAUUGCAUGGAUGGAUUUCCGGGGAGUACAGUUGAAAGACUAUCAAGAGAUAAGAUUCUCGCAUAAUGUUGACGAAGUGUAUGAUUUUGAUAGUGAUGAUGGCAAGUUGGCAAAACACCGCUUCCCCACACAUUGUCACACCGGCCGUGUACCCAAAGCUGCCCCUGCAGUUCUGCAUGAAACAUUUGCCGAUUAUUGUGACUAAAUUUCUGUGUACAGUAAGCGACGACAUGUUAUCAGGUCAAUUCGAAGAUAUGACUCUACCAAUUUUAAAACGAUGGAACUCCGAGGAAAUAAACUUCAAAACCUGUUGCACCAGACCCUGCACGUUAGAUGAACUGCUGAGCCUCUGUUAAACCAGAGGAUCACCGAAUUGAAAAAAAUCUGAUCAUGGAUUCAAUGCGACAACUUUAAGAUGACAUUAUGCACAGUAUCUCGUUUAUAGUACAAAGGAUAUAGAUAUAGGUAUCUACAUAUAUUAUUAAAAAAAUACUGAAUAUUUAUUACUUAACUAUUGAAUAAGUAAACCAUACAAACAUAGAUUAUUGCAUGUGAUGAAUGCAAAGAAAUGUUACAAAAGUGAAACAAAUUUAAAUAAAUUAAGCUUAAUGCUUAUUUUGUUUGUCGAUUGCAGCCCAAGGGUUUUGUAUAAUGUAUAAAAAUAGUAAUAAACCAUGCUUAGCAAAAGAAAAA